rnacentral:misc_RNA from 1 species
UACGUAGGGCGCAAGCGUUGUCCGGAAUUAUUGGGCGUAAAGAGCUCGUAGGCGGUCUGUCGCGUCUGCUGUGAAAUCCCGGGGCUCAACCCCGGGCGUGCAGUGGGUACGGGCAGACUAGAGUCCGGCAGGGGAGAGUGGAAUUCCCGGGUUAGCGGUGAAAUGCGCGGAUAUCGGGAGGAACACCAGUGGCGAAGGCGGCUCUCUGGGCCGGUACUGACGCUGAGGAGCGAAAGCGUGGGGAGCGAACAGG